GGAAGGACAGCUCCUGCACCUAGCCUCCCGGGUGCCAAUGGCGGCAUUGCAGAGUCUGGGGAGCCGCCUGGCCCGCGCCCAAUCUCCCUGGAGCACCUCUGCCUAGUCUGUCCGCCGCAUUCUCUGUGCUGUGCCCAGGGCCGCCCUAGGUGCCCUGCAAUCAGCUCCGACUGCAGCCCCUAGCCCCAGCCUGGUGAGCUAACCCGGGAGUCUCUCUGAGUAAUUUCACUGGGGCCACGGCGGCAAUAUGGCCCAUUCAGACGUGGCUGACAUCUACUGUUGGCCUCAUGGUGGGUAAAGGAUUGACUGGAGCCCCACUACAGAACAAUUAUUGAGUCCCCAUGAUCCCUCCAGCUAACAUGAUAUCCCCAGCUGGCCAGAGCAAUGGGGGCCAAGGAAACAUCGCAGAAUGAGAAACAGAAAGAAUUUAAGGGUCAGAAGAAACAGAUUGCAGGGUCAAUUUCCUUUCUCCUGAUAAGAACCUGUUCAGUCGUCACCAGAGAUUCCUGACAUGCCUCCCCAUGUUAAUGAGCCAACCCUAAGCUCUCAGCCAAUGACCUCUGCCCAUCCUGGAUGUUCCUACACUCAGUCCCCUGAAACUGUAUAAGCCUUGAAUCGCCCCAAGUAAAGUUGAUCUGCCUGCUGGUCCAGAUGUGGUCACCGCUCCCACUACCCUCAUGGACCGUAUCGGCCGAUGGAUCCACGGGAGGAGAGACCCAUGCGGAGGAAACGAGGAAACACUGUUUUUAGUUUUUAGCACCUAAUCUUGAGAGAACAGACAUUUGUUUACAUCUCCUGGGGAAAGUCAUGCAACUUUGAGAAUGUUCUGGGGCCCCACUUGGAGCCUACCAAAAUUACCAAUUGUUUGAGGCUGGCUGUUCACAGAGAAUUUUUUAAAAUACCAAACAAAAGAAAAUUUAAAAAAAAACAAUAGAAAUUGUCUUUAAUCAAACAAUAGUAAAAUAUUUUUCUUAUGAAUGAAUAAAUACAAAUCUGACAAAUUGUGCAUAUCCUUGUUCUAUAAUCAGCGU